CUGUGGGUGUGAGUAGUCGAACAGCUGUUGACUGAGUGAAUUUCAUACGACACAUUAUGAUGGUUUCGUAGUCUAAUUUUACUGGAAUGAAAAUUGGAUGAACCUUGGAAGGUUGUCGAAAAUCGACGAGAUUGUCGUGACCAAAAGAAAAAAACUAGGAGAACGGUUCGACCUGUUUGUUCGGCAUACGAGUAAGUUCUAUCCAGGAGCGUGAGGUGUUUUAGUUUGGAAAGAGCCAGUUAUUGUACCUUCAGCCCCGAAAGUAAGUGCCAAUAAAUCCGAAAAUCGUAAGAGGAAGAACGUAGACGUGUGUGUUAAGAAUAAGGAAAAAGUUUCUACUAUGAAAAAGGACGAAGUUACGAAAGAAUCGUCCGAACCGUUUUUUUUACCGAACAAUCGGAGAAAAGGAAUUAGAAUAUGUCAACGCGUCAUCAUCGUCUCCCAGUGGCGUCGCCUUUCUUCCGAAGUUUCUACGGAUUUACCCUGAUCGAACUUACAACAACUAGCCGCUGUCCCGGGGUUGCCCAACUAUCAAACCUUGCAGACUGAAUCCGGAUCGACCGGAAAUUCGAGACGCUUGUCUGUUACCCGAAGGACUAUCUAUAUCUGAUGUAAGCGCAACUUUUGCUUAAUAAAGGCUUUGUAAGACA